GGUCCCUGGCGGCCGUGCAUUCCAGAGCCGCCGCGCGCAGCCCCGGGGCCCAGCCGCGCGUCCCGGCCGCUCCCGCGCGCUCCCGCCGCCGCGGCUCCGAGGGCCGGGCACGUGCCGCGCCGAGACCCCGGGGCCGGGCCGCCGCCCCUGCGAGCCCGUCCCGGCCGCCCACCCUUCCGCAGACCCGGCGCGAUCCGGCUGCGGCAGGGGCGGGGUGGGGUGGGGGGCGCGGGCGUGCUCUCCAAGCAGCUCCGCGGAUCCCGGGCUGAGUAAAUGGAAGCAUUAGGAAGUUCAACUGAUCCAGCAUAGGUCAGCUAGAAAGUGGUAGAGCCAACCCAAGCCAACUGGCUCAGAGAGAGCCUGGGCUCUUAACACGGCAGUGUGAGUGGAAAGGAAAGAACUCCUGCUGUUUCCAAGUAUUCCCUCCAUUCUGAUGCGCUCCCAUUGCCCUACCAGAAUCCGGAAGCUUGAGGCCCUGUUGACUUAAGAAACGUGUAUUCAGUACCCAUACCGCAGGGUAGAGAAGGGAAGGGAGGAGAAUGAGCUGUGAUGGGUGAAAUCAGUGCUGGGGCAGAGCUGCGUCCAGACACGUUGUGCAGUCCUUCAUCCUGUAUGCACGGAGCUUUUUCCCACUUUGGUGGGAUCUCCCACGACAAGAUUCCAGUGCCUCUCCCUCUCUUCCCUGAUGCUCUCAUGGUGAGGAAUACAUACGUUACAGUCUUAGCCAUUACCUUCUUCACUGGCUUUAUUUGCCUCUGGGUCUUGAAUCAAAGGGAUGGAAUGCAAAGGGUGGAACUGCAUUCACUGAUGAUUCUGACCGGACUUGUUUUUGGUUGGGGCGCGCGCGUGUGUGUGUAUGUGUGUGUGUGUGCACGCGUGCGCGCGUGUUUGGCCCUUGAAAACCAUCUCACCUGCCUCACCUACUGUGAUGUUGCCUAGGGCUCUGGGCCUCAAGGCCCCCAAUGGCUUUAACACGGUGAAAAGUUAGAAUCAAGAAGCCUGGCUGGCUGUCAUUCUUCCUAUCAGUUUGUUUCCUACCACCCCUUCUCCAGCCUGACUCCCCACUGUCUCCCAGCCCCCAUCUCAAACAGGAUAGUGAUGGCAUUGAAAAGAGCAUGCGGGGGCACCUGGCUGGCUCAGUCGGUUGAGCGUCUGGCUCUUGAUAUGGGAUCAAGUCUGGCAUUAGACUCCAAGCUGAGUGUGGAGCCUGAGAUUCUCUCUCUCUCUGUCCCCUCCCCUUCCCCCCAGAUUCCACUUUCUCUCUCUCUCUUAAAAAAAAAAAAAAAAAAAAAAAAAAAAAAGAGCAGGCAGAUCAGGAGGCCUGAGUUCUCCCUUCAGUCCCUUCAGCCCUUAACUUGGUAGAUGACCUUGGGCAAGUCAUUUCCUCCAUCUGUAAAAUGGAAGGUACACUAUGUGGUUAAAGCUGGUUACUGUCUAAAUUUUCUGUAGAUUUCUAGAAUACCAUUACUUUGUAGAGGUUUUUUCUCCACAGAACAAACCCAGUAGGAUAUAGAACUGCAGUAUUAGAUUUCUAUUGCUGCCUU